rnacentral:lncRNA from 1 species
CGGGCAUCAAUAGAGUUUUUUUUGUUGCAUUGAAAGAUAACGAAAUUUCGCAAAACAAAGUGACAAACAAUAAUCUUUCCUAAAACGUCACUUUCAACAAUAAAAACCUGACUUAAGAAUAGAUGGUUAAUGAGUGAAUGAUUUGCAAAUUAACUCAAGAGCAAACUUCGAUUUUCCUUAAAAGAGAGUAACUAAGGUUUUCAAAGAAUGGUCGGGCCAUUUGGUCACAUUGGUGGCUAAUGUAGUCUUCACGAUUCGGCCAUAAUGUUUAGGCUGGGUUGAGGAGGUUACAAACUUAAUUUCAUCUAUAGAGACCUCCUUACCCAAAAAUAGAACAUUACUGUGAUCAAGCCUUGGGAACAUACUAGACAGUAAAUCUCUGAUUCUAACUGGUUGCUCACCAUACAAUUUCUUGAAUCAUCUAACCGACCCAAAUUGAAGAUCAACUUCUUCAAAGAUCCACUCUCCUUCCUCAAUUUUCAAGGUAAUGAUUCGAUUAUAUUUCCUUUUCUACAGUGUAAGCCUAUGAAAAAAAUUGGUGUUACGGUCCCCCAAAGCCAACCAAUCACAUCUAGGUUUCUGUUUCCACAAUAAUUCGUCAUGAUGGAGAACCUCUUCUAAUUCCUCUCUCACCCUCAUUUCCAACUGAGCUGAAUGGUCAGUACCUGAAUUUUUCAUCGCCCGUUAAUACUAGAAAGUUUCCGUAUCAAAUGUCUUUUCCAGAUACUAAUAUGACCAUAAACGAAUUUAUUCCAGGAAUUAAUAUUAGAAAUAAUUUGAUCAAGUGAUUUAGACAUGCUCCCAUUAAAUCUCCAAUUAUCUUUGACAAAAUCAACAAAACUCGGAUGUUCAACCCACCCUACUAGAAAUCUAAAGGGUCGACCUCUAGCUGAUGCAAAACUUGGAUAGCCAAUUUUAACCCUUCCCAAAGUUUCUUCCUUUUUUGUCUAUCCGAACUACCAUAAAUGAAAGCAACAUAGAUUGGAUGAUCAUACGAAAUAUCAAUUACCCAGAUAAUAAUAAAUUGGGGAUGAUUACAAACCACCUCCACUUGAACCAAGUCUUUCCAAGCUAUCCAAAUACCUCUAGAAAAACCAUCAACCUCCACCCGGUGAGAAUACUGGAAACCCAAUUUAGCUGACUUUAUCUACUUUAACACCACUAACUCCUAUUUCUAGUAAACUCACAAUAUCAAACUUGAACUCUGCAUUAUACUCUUAAAAAAUGUGAAGGAACUUAACACUGGCACACCCCUGACAAUUCCAUGAAAAUAUAGGCAAAUUCAUGUUCAUAAUUUAAAGAAAAAAUAAAUGAACUAACCAUUUACUGCUCGAAGAUUCCCGACUCAUCAACCCACAUGCCAUUCACGCUUGGAUUAGCUUUAUCCAAUUCCUUCUCAAGUUAAUAAUUAAUUAAUUCAACCAUGGAGUUUAUUGUAUCAGAAAGAGGUACACGAGCAGAACCAACUAACUUAAAACGAUCUCUACAUUCCCUGAUAAUCCUAUUUAACUUCCUUUCAUUACGGUUGGACUCAGAUUUUCCAUUAUAUCCACACCCCUUAUUACUAUGCUUAACCUGAAUCCCCCCCCCCCCCCAAAAGUAACGCUUCUUGUGUUACCAAUAUUAUGGUGACAUAAUUCUCCUUAAAGGUGAUGACAAAAUGCUUUCCUAGUUCUAAAACAUCUAGACUAAUAGAAAAAAAAGUUCAAAUACUUCAACAAAAAUAAGAUUAAACUGUGUAGCUGAACCUACCGGAAUAAAGGCUUCUAGACCACUCAUACCGAAAGAAGACACAUUACAAUCAUUGAGG